AUUGAACGCUGGCGGCAUGCCUUACACAUGCAAGUCGAACGGCAGCACGGGUGCUUGCACCUGGUGGCGAGUGGCGAACGGGUGAGUAAUACAUCGGAACAUGUCCUGUAGUGGGGGAUAGCCCGGCGAAAGCCGGAUUAAUACCGCAUACGAUCUACGGAUGAAAGCGGGGGACCUUCGGGCCUCGCGCUAUAGGGUUGGCCGAUGGCUGAUUAGCUAGUUGGUGGGGUAAAGGCCUACCAAGGCGACGAUCAGUAGCUGGUCUGAGAGGACGACCAGCCAAACUGGGACGGAGACACGGCCCAGCCUCCUACGGGAGGCAGCAGUGGGGAAUUUUGAAAAAUGGGGGAAAGCCUGAUCCAGAAAUGCCGCGUGUGGAAAGAAGGCCUUCGGGUUGUAAAGCACUUUUGUCCGGAAAGAAGUCCUUGGCCCUAAUACGGUCGGGGGAUGACGGUACCGGAAGAAUAAGCACCGGCUAACUACGU
rnacentral:rRNA from 1 species